UCUUCCCUCUGGCGGCGUGCCUAAUACAUGCAAGUCGAGCGAACGGACGAGAAGCUUGCUUCUCUGAUGUUAGCGGCGGACGGGUGAGUAACACGUGGAUAACCUACCUAUAAGACUGGGAUAACUUCGGGAAACCGGAGCUAAUACCGGAUAUUAUUUUGAACCGCAUGGUUCAAAAGUGAAAGACGGUCUUGCUGUCACUUAUAGAUGGAUCCGCGCUGCAUUAGCUAGUUGGUAAGGUAACGGCUUACCAAGGCAACGAUGCAUAGCCGACCUGAGAGGGGGAUCGGCCACACUGGAACUGAGACACGGUCCAGACUCCUACGGGAGGCAGCAGUAGGGAAUCUUCCGCAAUGGGCGAAAGCCUGACGGAGCAACGCCGCGUGAGUGAUGAAGGUCUUCGGAUCGUAAAACUCUGUUAUUAGGGAAGAACAUAUGUGUAAGUAACUGUGCACAUCUUGACGGUACCUAAUCAGAAAGCCACGGCUAGCUACGUG
rnacentral:rRNA from 1 species